GUCUAUGGCCAUGCCAUCCUGUACAAGCCCAAUGUCUGAUCUCAGAAGCUAAACAGGGUCAGGCUUGGUUAGUACUUGGAUGGGAGACCACCUAGGAAGACCAGGUUCCGUAGGCA
rnacentral:rRNA from 1 species